ACAAAACCGUUCAUCUUUUACUCUCCAAUAAUUAAACCCUAGCCUUUCACUCAUUUCACUCCUCAAUUCAUCUAUCCAAAAUCGAAAACCUAGUAACAAAUUAAACUGAAAGAUGCUCUUUGAUUUCAUCAUGUUUGGUAUUCUAAUCGUUUUCCGGAAGAGGAGAUAAACAAAGCUGUGAUGUUGAAGUCUCUUUGACAACAACAGCUACGAAAAAAUACACAUUCGAAUGUUCACGCACUGACCCAAAUGUCGCUGAGCUCAUCCUCGCCUUUACUUUCGAAAUAUGAAGUGACUUAACAGGGGAAGGAUUCAUUACAUACACUAAGGCAAUUUAUCAGCAAGAGGUGUAAAGAGUAAGAGGAAAUUUUUUUAGCAAGAAAUCAAAAAAGCAAGAGGUGGCUGCUUACUUGGGAUCUUCACAGGUUAUCAAUCCCCACCAAUUAUUAUUGCUUCAUGUAAAUUCCUACUAUUAGAAAAAGUUGCAGGUUGAUUACUAUUUUCUGAUCAUCGUAUAUACACACUCAUAUAUAUAAGGUCGCUGUACUUUCCACAACUUUACAAGUAAACUAGUUCUCUAUUGAACAUACACCGACAAGGUAAAGGUAGUAAGGUACUAGUUUUCCCAUUUCUAUUAAAAUAUCCAUUGAACUGAAUAUUGAACUAUAUGAUUUGGUUGAUGCAAUCCCAUGUCCAUUAUAUGUAUAUAUGACAUAAUGUUUAAGUAAGAAAUAAAUAAUAUGCCUUGAAUUGAUUUUCCAUGUAAGAGGGGUUUAAGUGCAACAUCCCCCCUAUGAUUGCUCUGAAGCUAGUGAUAUUUAUUAUAUUUUAACUACCGUUUUCUAUUGAGCUGUGCGGUUUUCUGUCUUCUUUAUAUAGGUUUAUCAAAAACUUUGUUAACUCAAACUUGGAUAUGAGUGUCUAGCCCUACUGAAGUUUCAGGCCACACUAAACCACUAGUUCCUGCCAAUGAUCCAGAAACAUCAAAGGGUGUGUUGUGACUUCAAGGCCAACGAUAAUUGGUUACAAUGUGAGCUUUGCUUUAUGCCCCCUUGCGAGCAGAUUAAGGAAAAGCUAAAUUAGAGAUUGAUUGAAGUUUUUUGUGAUGAAAUUAGCAUAUUUGUUCCACUACAACUAGUUACGAAUUAAGUAUAAGUUGGAAUCAUGAGCAUAAGUUGUAAUAGAGAACUCAUUACUAUGAGAUAUUAUACAUGUACUAUAAUAUUUAUAUUAUAUGCAAUAAAAAAAAUUGGCC